rnacentral:tmRNA from 1 species
GGGGGCGACAAGGUUUCGACGGGGAUACAUGAACCAUGAACCACGUGUCGAGUUGCACGGGACUCGUAAAACAAGUGCACUUAAAGUAACUGCAGAUAACAAUCUCGCACUCGCAGCCUAAAUAAAGGCUGCCGGCCAUCCGGAGUUGCCUGUGGCUCCAAAAUGGUUGUCAUACGAUUACAGGCUGGUUUGCCGGUUUGGACCUAGGGACCGGUUGACGAGACUUACUGGGUGGGGAUGGUUGAGUUUUGGCCCCGGUUAACCUCUUCCAUCCGACAUUGAACUGGGGAAACACACGUAAACGUUGAUGGGGACGGUUCUCGGACCCGGGUUCGAUUCCCGGCGCCUCCACCA